rnacentral:rRNA from 1 species
UACGUAGGGGGCAAGCGUUGUUCGGAAUUACUGGGCGUAAAGGGCGCGUAGGCGGCACAGCAAGUCGGGAGUGAAAGCCCGGGGCUCAACCCCGGAACGGCUUUCGAAACUGCUGAGCUAGAGUACAGAAGGGGCAACCGGAAUUCCCAGUGUAGCGGUGAAAUGCGUAGAUAUUGGGAAGAACACCUGAGGCGAAGGCGGGUUGCUGGGCUGAUACUGACGCUGAGGCGCGAAAGCCAGGGGAGCGAACGGG